CUUCAGCGGACAGACUCUGGACGUGCGGUCUGACGACUUUCCUAAACUCCGGACGCAGGAAUCGCGUCGCCAGAGCCCGGGCAGGAGCGAGCAGGCGCGGGGACCGACCCGCUAGUGCAAAGGCUCGGAGAGCCAGCGUCGUGCUCCUGCGGGCGAGCCGGCGGCGGCGGCGGAACGAGCCGAAGGGGGAGGUAGAGAAGUGACUCUACCCCACUGAGCCUGGGCCUGCAGCGGCAACCGCAGACCCUCCCGAGGAAGCGGGAGCGCUCCGGGCGGAGCACGCUCCCGGAGUGGUGGUCAGCCGGCUUUGCAAGCCAACUCUGAACCUAACCGCCCUGGAUUCUGCGCCCUGCCGCGCCCACCUUCCACCUUCGGCCUUCUUCCUUCCACCCACUUCUCAGCACACUGAGCAAAAGCCAGCACAUUCAUGGGUCCAACUGAUUCUUCAUUUAGACAGGGAGUUUUUGUUAAGAGGUCUUGCGAGGAAGCUGGGGCGCACAGACAGGUGGUGACCGGCCCAAAGUGGCGUAACAGAUCUAUCCAGCACUUGCCAUACCACAAGGCUUGUGGGAUCUUAGUUCCCGGACCAGGGAUCGAACUCGCAACUCCCUGCAGUGGAAGUUUGGAGUCCUAACCACUGGACUGCCAGGGAAGUCCCAGGAGUUGGAUAUUGAAGGAAGUGGAUGUGGACAGAUGAAGAGAGAAGGAGACCUUCAAGGGAGGAGCGUCCGUCAGAGAUACAGCCAGAGGCACAGGGGAAAAAUUAGUGCAAUCUGCCUGAUGGCCCCUGAGGGAGUUUGCACGUUGAGGUGUUGGCAUUUCAGGAGCCUUGAUGUUUGUGAGGACAUUUGGGACAAAAUACUGGAAACCGUGAGUCCACGGUAUCUGAAAAUCCAAUACAUAAACAGAUGGAUUCAUUUAAUCCCUCCUUCUGCAAAUGAGGAAACAGCAAACCGGAGAGAAGGCACCAGGCCAAGAUCUGGAAAAGCCUCCUGUGGGGACCAUGCUGACAGCUUUCACUCUUGCCCAUGGACCACAGUACAGGAGGCUGCAGACUUGGGUUAUAGUAGGAUGGGUCAGUUAGACAGAAGGAGGACCCCCUUGACAUGAGAGUGAUUGACGCAGGCAGAGGCAACAACGUCUGGUCUUGGUGCUGGUUGUUCUUCUGCCGAAAUGAGGGGGGGCGGGGAGAGCAAACACCUGGCAGAGCCCACUCUGUGCCAGGCACACUGGGGGCACCUGGACAGAAUCUUAUUUAAUCCUCUGCAGAGGAGGACUCUGUGUCCACUGCACAUUGCAUAGAUAAGGAAACUGAGGCUCAGGUGAAGAGAGCAACCUAAGGUCACAUGGCAGCCAUAGGAGCAAAACUGGAAUUUUAAACAGAAUGUUUUCAACUCCAGAGCUCUGCUUACUGACCUAGGAUCCUAGGAGCUGGAAGGAGGGGGUCCUUUCCCCCUUUGUUCCUCCAUACCUGGAAUUCUGGGGCAAAAAGACAUCCAUCCAUCCAUCCACUCAACAAAUGUACCAAGUGCUGCACCAAGCCUCUGGAAUACAGAAAUAGAACAUGGCGUCUGCCCACAAGGAGCCCACGUGGAGAGGUCGUUUUAUCUAGCCCCCUGCCUCUCCUCAUCCUCUCCAAAGAGGGCACUCUGCAUUGCAAAUAGCUCAAUAAAGGAAGGGCUGCACACUUCCCUGUGUCAGGAAGAUUUAGCAAGCUUCUGUCAUCCCAGGUAAGGGGUAGGGGAAGGACGGCUUGGACUCUCGGUAUCUUGGGGGAAGACUGGACUCAGGCCUACUUUCCUCAUUUAGAAACGUGGACUAAUGAUGAAGAACCACCUUAUGGGAAAGCUAAAUGAGAAAAGGAAGGUUGAACGCCGCUGGCCAUGGGUUCAACUUUCCUGAGACGAGCUAAAAUUGGGUUGAUCAUUAUAGCAAAACUCUGUGAUCAGGCAUCCAGGUAUAUGGUCAUUCUUUACAAUUCUUCUUAAGUUGUAUGUGUAUAUAUAUAUAUAUAUAUAUUUUUUAAUAGCUACCACAGAGCUUGCACAUGAUGCAGAAAUCAAAAGGUGCACAGGAUAUAGCCUGAAAAUUUCCUUCCCUUCCCUGCUCUCAGCCUCCUAAUUCCUCUUUCCAGAGGCUCCACGGUUAUCAGUUUCCUGACAGAGAUCGCCUGUCUAUCUACAUAAACAAGCAAUUAUGGCUGUAUAUUCUUUUUGUUUCAAACAUGAUUUUGUUUCAUACAAACAUGAUUUUCUGUACCUUGCUUUCUUCCACUUAAUUUAUCUUGGAGAUGGUUCCAAAUCAGCCCAUAAAGAGUGUCCCCAUUCAUUCCUUUUCCUGGUUGCAUAAUAUUCCAUGUGUUAGAUGAACCAUGAUCUACUUAUCUUGUCCCCAGUGAUGGACAUCUAGAUGUUUCUCACCUUUGGCUCUUAUCAGCAGUGCUGCCAAAAAAUAACC